rnacentral:tRNA from 1 species
UCACCUUUAGCUCAGUGGUAGAGCAAUCGGCUGUUAACCGAUGUGUCGUAGGUUCAAUCCCUACAAGGUGAGC